UCGAUGAACGGGAUAUACAAUUCACGACUCGUUCGGGAACGGGAAGUUACAUCAUUUUCUUCUUCGUUUUCUUUUACUGCGGGGUGGCACCAGCUUCAAUGCGCAUUACCGACACCUACUGGUGGAAGUCAUAUGAACUGAAAAAAGAACGGAUCACUUUAGGAAAUGAUUCGUUCACUGAAAUAAAUCCGUUCAUUUGAACGAAUCGUUCACUCACAAGCCCACACUAAAGGGGCGUUUCCGGCCAAGUCGACCCGUUGAAAAUGUAGACCUCCAUUUCCAAAGACAGAUAAUGUUUGGUUGUGAUGCUGUAUCCAGAGGAUGGACAGUGCCUGAAGGAGUCAAGAGGACCAAGACCGUCCAUCGCUGUCCUGCUGCAAGCAAAAAUGAUCAAAAUCAAAGCAGGCUCCUUCAACAACUCCCAGGAAUUAUUGCUGCCCUUGUUUUAGUAGUCUCUGAAUAAAGAUUUGUACAAACUGCCAA